rnacentral:rRNA from 1 species
UACGGAGGGAGCAAGCGUUACUCGGAAUUACUGGGCGUAAAGGGCGCGUAGGCGAUUUUGUAAGUCUUGUGUGAAAGCCCAAAGCCUAACUUUGGAAGUGCACAAGAUACUGCGAGAAUUGAGUUCCGGAGAGGAAGAUGGAAUUCCCGGUGUAGCGGUGAAAUGCGUAGAUAUUGGGAGGAACACCAGUGGCGAAGGCGGCUCACUGGACCGGUACUGACGCUGAGGCGCGAAAGCGUGGGGAGCGAACAGG